GCGGAUGUGGUGUAAAGGCAAGCACGGCUGAAUUCCACUCAGCCGGUGCCGGUUCAAUUCCGGUCAUCCGUUC
rnacentral:tRNA from 1 species